ACGCUGGCGGCAGGCCUAACACAUGCAAGUCGAGCGGCAGCACGGGUACUUGUACCUGGUGGCGAGCGGCGGACGGGUGAGUAAUGCCUAGGAAUCUGCCUGGUAGUGGGGGAUAACGCUCGGAAACGGACGCUAAUACCGCAUACGUCCUACGGGAGAAAGCAGGGGACCUUCGGGCCUUGCGCUAUCAGAUGAGCCUAGGUCGGAUUAGCUAGUUGGUGGGGUAAUGGCUCACCAAGGCGACGAUCCGUAACUGGUCUGAGAGGAUGAUCAGUCACACUGGAACUGAGACACGGUCCAGACUCCUACGGGAGGCAGCAGUGGGGAAUAUUGGACAAUGGGCGAAAGCCUGAUCCAGCCAUGCCGCGUGUGUGAAGAAGGUCUUCGGAUUGUAAAGCACUUUAAGUUGGGAGGAAGGGCAGUUACCUAAUACGUAUCUGUUUUGACGUUACCGACAGAAUAAGCACCGGCUAACUCUGUGCCAGCAGCCGCGGUAAUACAGAGGGUGCAAGCGUUAAUCGGAAUUACUGGGCGUAAAGCGCGCGUAGGUGGUUUGUUAAGUUGAAUGUGAAAUCCCCGGGCUCAACCUGGGAACUGCAUGCAAAACUGGCAAGCUAGAGUAUGGUAGAGGGUGGUGGAAUUUCCAGUGUAGCGGUGAAAUGCGUAGAUAUAGGAAGGAACACCAGUGGCGAAGGCGACCACCUGGACUGAUACUGACACUGAGGUGCGAAAGCGUGGGGAGCAAAC
rnacentral:rRNA from 1 species